rnacentral:lncRNA from 1 species
GCCCGCUUAGGUUUCAAAACUGACAGAUCAGCCUCAGCCUACUUCAAGUGCAGGGAUUAAAGAUGUGCUCAUCCAUACCCAGCAAGGGGCUGUCUUUAGAUUCUUGAGCAGACUCAGAAUUAGCACAGCCUGCAUGGGCAGGGACAUUCAGGAUAGACCAUGUUAAAUAUUCCUUUGCCUUGCCUUGAACAGAUCAGUGGGCAGGAACCAGCACUGCUUGUCUGGAUAGAGCCAGAAGACUGCCAGGAUCAAGCACCAGCGCAGGAAAGUCACCAUAGCCACACUUCAGUGGGGCACUCUACAGAAGACAGCAGGGUACUUGCAGAAUGCACAGUAGUGUCCCUGGACUUGCAAGGAGGUUGCUGCAACCAAAGGUCAGCAGGGUUCAGUGAGGUUUGGGGAGCUUUCUGUGAUUGAACAAGACUGAAUGUCUGGGAAAAGGAAAGGUGAUGGGAAUCAUUAAGUAACAUCAUAACUUCAUUUGCAUUUCAGGUUGUGGAAACCAGGACAUCACUGCCUUUCUAUAUGGCAUUGGUUUAGAAUCUUUGAGUCCUAGUGUUAGGUCU